rnacentral:rRNA from 1 species
UGAGGAAUAUUGGGCAAUGCCCGCAAGGGUGACCCAGCAACGCCGCGUGGAGGAUGAAUGUCGUAAGAUUGUAAACUCCUGUUAGAGGGGAAGAAUAGUACCGGUUGGACCGGUAUAUGACUGUACCCUCAGAGAAAGCCCCGGCUAACUACGUGCCAGCAGCCGCGGUAAUACGUAGGGGGCAAGCGUUGUCCGGAUUUACUGGGUGUAAAGGGCGCGCAGGCGGGAUAAAAAGUCAGUGGUGAAAUCCUACAGCUUAACUGUAGAACUGCCUUUGAUACUUUUAUGCGUGAGUUCGGGAGAGAGAGACGGAAUGCCAGGUGUAGUGGUGAAAUACGUAGAUAUCUGGAAGAACACCAGUUGCGAAGGCGGUCUCUUGGUCCGACACUGACGCUGAGGCGCGAAAGCGUGGGGAG